rnacentral:tRNA from 1 species
GGAGGGGUGGCAGAGUGGACGAUUGCGCCAGUCUUGAAAACUGGAGGCCGGUCACCCCGGUCCAGGGGUUCGAAUCCCCUCCCCUCCG